rnacentral:rRNA from 1 species
CGGCGAGUGAAGCGGCAAGAGCUCAGAUUUGAAAUCGUGCUUUGCGGCACGAGUUGUAGAUUGCAGGUUGGAGUCUGUGUGGAAGGCGGUGUCCAAGUCCCUUGGAACAGGGCGCCCAGGAGGGUGAGAGCCCCGUGGGAUGCCGGCGGAAGCAGUGAGGCCCUUCUGACGAGUCGAGUUGUUUGGGAAUGCAGCUCCAAGCGGGUGGUAAAUUCCAUCUAAGGCUAAAUACUGGCGAGAGACCGAUAGCGAACAAGUACUGUGAAGGAAAGAUGAAAAGCACUUUGAAAAGAGAGUGAAACAGCACGUGAAAUUGUUGAAAGGGAAGGGUAUUGCGCCCGACAUGGGGAUUGCGCACCGCUGCCUCUCGUGGGCGGCGCUCUGGGCUUUCCCUGGGCCAGCAUCGGUUCUUGCUGCAGGAGAAGGGGUUCUGGAACGUGGCUCUUCGGAGUGUUAUAGCCAGGGCCAGAUGCUGCGUGCGGGGACCGAGGACUGCGGCCGUGU